rnacentral:rRNA from 1 species
UACGUAGGGCGCAAGCGUUGUCCGGAAUUAUUGGGCGUAAAGAGCUCGUAGGCGGUCUGUUACGUCCGCUGUGAAAACCCAGGGCUUAACCCUGGGCUUGCAGUGGAUACGGGUAGACUAGAGGCAGGUAGGGGGAGAAUGGAAUUCCCGGUGUAGCGGUAAAAUGCGCAGAUAUCGGGAGGAACACCGGUGGCGAAGGCGGUUCUCUGGGCCUGACCUGACGCUGAGGAGCGAAAGCGUGGGGAGCGAACAGG